rnacentral:tRNA from 1 species
GCCCGGGUGGCGAAAUUGGUAGACGCAAGGGACUUAAAAUCCCUCGGUGGAAACACUGUAUCGGUUCGACCCCGAUCCCGGGCACCA